CCCGUUUGAGCCAAGCCCCAUGCCGACUGGUCAGUUAUGGCCAGGAGGAUGAAGACCAGUAACAGGUACAAACGGAGGCAGAAGCAGACACCCAAGUCAACUAACAACAAAGGUAAACGCAGAGUGAGGAGAAUUAGAAGACGGCUGACGAGAUCCGGCCGAUUACCAACCAUAAGGAGGAAAAGGAAUUGAUUCCAUCCACUAUGAAGACCACCUUUGAGAAGAUCAAGGGAGGCCAUAGUGGAACAGGCACCUUGUAGGGAAGAUCAGCCAUGAAGAGGCUGGAGCACUGGGGCUGUGGUGUUGGUAGUGCCACUGUUGACCAGUGACACCAAUAAACCAUCACUGAGGCUACUGGCUCGACUUUGA